rnacentral:tRNA from 1 species
GCCCCCGUAGCUCAGCGGAUAGAGCAGCGGUUUCCUAAACCGAAGGUCACAAGUUCGACUCUUGUCGGGGGCGCCA